rnacentral:rRNA from 1 species
GACGAACGCUGGCGGCGUGCUUAACACAUGCAAGUCGAACGGAAAGGCCCUGCUUUUGUGGGGUGCUCGAGUGGCGAGCGGGUGAGUAACACGUGAGUAACCUGCCCUUGACUUUGGGAUAACUUCAGGAAACUGGGGCUAAUACCGGAUAGGAGCUCCUGCUGCAUGGUGGGGGUUGGAAAGUUUCGGCGGUUGGGGAUGGACUCGCGGCUUAUCAGCUUGUUGGUGGGGUAGUGGCUUACCAAGGCUUUGACGGGUAGCCGGCCUGAGAGGGUGACCGGCCACAUUGGGACUGAGAUACGGCCCAGACUCCUACGGGAGGCAGCAGUGGGGAAUAUUGCAAAAUGGGCGGAAGCCUGAUGCAGCAACGCCGCGUGCGGGAUGACGGCCUUCGGGUUGUAAACCGCUUUCGCCUGUGACGAAGCGUGAGUGACGGUAAUGGGUAAAGAAGCACCGGCUAACUACGUG